UAAGUGCCAAGCCUAAACUCGGUUGGGUAGUAACGAAGAAGGUCAAGGCCCUACUGAGAUAAAUAUAAUAUAUGAUGAGAUAAAGAAAAAUAGUAUAGAUAAAGCCUACAGCGAUAAUCUAAACAGGAUAAAUAAGGGAAACAACAAUCGGAAAUGGAACAAAACAAUAUAAGGAAACUACUCACAACAGGAAAUAAUAGCGGG
rnacentral:lncRNA from 1 species